CAUGAUGUUGUGAAUCAGUGCUGAUUCUGCC
rnacentral:piRNA from 1 species